CCUUCGAUAGCUCAGUUGGUAGAGCGGAGGACUGUAGAGGACUAGCUGUCAUCCUUAGGUCGCUGGUUCGAAUCCGGCUCGAAGGA
rnacentral:tRNA from 1 species